GUCUGUGCCCUGUGGAAAUGAAUGCCUUUCGUCUAUGUUAUAAACUGUACACAAAACGAGAAAAAUGUCUUGCACUUCAGCCUGAAAAAGGUCACAGGUGGUGACGUGCAGUACUGUGCCAAAUUAGAAUCAUCAGAAAAAUGUUUGUAGGGCAAAAACAAGCCCAACCACACAGGGAUAGAAAAAAUGUGCACUUUCCCACCUACUGAUGCAGUUUGUCACAGGGAUAGAAAGAGAAAAGCACCCAAUGCUUAUUCAACCCAUUCGGAGACAGGAAAUUGAGAGUAAAGAUCCAUUCACAUUUGGUUUCUCCCACAUACAGUGUAUUUCAGCCGCAUAUGAUCAAAUAUACAACUCAGUGUUGCAAUCAAAAAAGUGUUUAAUACACCGAGUCCUCCUAAAUCUAUCUGUCAUAUUAUGUGAUUCCUUGAUAUAAGGUCACUGACCCCCAAGUUGGGGUCAGUGCCCAGAAUGGGCCAAUGUUUCUUUAAGAUUUUUCGAAUCUCAGUGCUCAAAUUAGAGAAGAUACAAAUAAAUCUAAUAUUAUCAGC